AAAAUGGAUUCUGGACAAUAUGAAUCAUCGCUAAAACAGGUCAAGCCCAUCUGGAAUCAUAGGAGAUAAUAAACAAGAAAGAUCCUCUCAGAGGACAAAAUGAAGAAAGCAACUCCUCUACCUCAACAACUAAUUUUUGACAUUUUUGUAAAACAGGAUUUAAAAUGUAAUCCAGAUGUUUCUCAAAUGAUCCAUUUUGAACAAGUUUAGGAGCUUGUUAGACGUUCAGGACUUUUGGCCGCAUCUUCAAACAAACAGAAUCAAAAUGUGUCUUCUCGUGCCAUCCCCAAGUGAUGGGUCAGUCUUACUUACAAUUUGAAAAGACCCAGCUAAUACAGGCCCAGAGCAAAGGCAACAAAAAUGGUAAUGUGGCAGAGUAUAUCACACUUUAGAAAGUAUAAUACUUUCUGCUAACCCUGCUAACCCUGAAGAUUUCCUCCCAGACCAAAAGCAAGGAGGAAAUAGGUGACAACUCCUCAGAAGAAAUCGGCAAAGACCUGCAGUGUUGAAUGGUGGCAACUAGCAAAUGACUGGUGAUAACUGCUGUGGCCAUGCUGGAGACCACUGGCAC